rnacentral:rRNA from 1 species
UGAAUACGAGACGCUAAGGCGUCGAAGUAGUGUAUGUCAUACUUCCAAGAAAAGCUUGCACUGUCAUAGAUAAAAAACGCCUGUACCAUAACCGACACAGGUGGGUAGGUAGAGUAUACUAAGGGGCGCGAGAUAACUCUCUCUAAGGAACUCGGCAAAAUAACUCCGUAACUUCGGGAGAAGGAGUGCCUUAUUAUUAAGGCUGCAAUAACAAGAUCCAAGCAACUGUUUAUCAAAAACACAGGUCUCCGCUAAGUCGUAAGACGAUGUAUGGGGGCUGACGCCUGCCCAGUGCCAGAAGGUUAAAGAAGUUGGUUAGCAUUUGCGAAGCUGAUAACUGAAGCCCUGGUGAACGGCGGCCGUAACAAUAACGGUCCUAAGGUAGCGAAAUUCCUUGUCGGGUAAGUUCCGACCCGCACGAAAGGCGUAAUGAUUUGGAUACUGUCUCGGAGAGGGGCACGGUAAAAUAGACUUGUCUGUGAAGAUGCGGACUACCUGCACCAGGACAGAAAGACCCUAUGAAGCUUUACUGUAACUUGAAAUUGAAAUUGGACUUUAUUCGCGCAGCAUAGGUGGGAGGCGUUGAUUAUAAUCUUGUGGGAUUAUUGGAGCCAUCAGUGAGAUACCACUCUUGUAAUGUUAGAUUUCUAACUUUGAAUCAUUAUCUGGUCAAAGAACAGUUUCAGGCGGGCAGUUUGACUGGGGCGGUCGCCUCCUAAACGGUAACGGAGGCGUACAAAGGUUUCCUCUGAACGGUUAGAAAUCGUAUCUAGAGUGUAAAGGCAUAAGGAAGCUUGACUGUGAGACCUACAAGUCGAGCAGGGACGAAAGUCGGUCUUAGUGAUCUGACGGUACUGAGUGGAAAGGCCGUCACUCAACGGAUAAAAGUUACUCUAGGAUAACAGGCUGAUCUCCCCCAAGAGUUCACAUCGACGGGGAGGUUUGGCACCUCGAUGUCGGCUCAUCGCAUCCUGGGGCGGUAGUACGUCCCAAGGGUUGGGCUGUUCGCCCAUGAAAGCGGUACGCGAGCUGGGUUCAGAACGUCGUGAGACAGUUCGGUCCAUAUCCGGUGUAGGCGUUAGAAUAUUGAGAGGAGCCUUCUUUAGUACGAGAGGACCGAGAAGGACAUACCUCUGGUGUACCAGUUAUCGUGCCAACGGUAAACGCUGGGUAGCUAUGUAUGGAGUGGAUAACCGCUGAAAGCAUCUAAGUGGAAGCCCACCUCAAGAUAAGUAUUCUCACC